GCCAGUUUCCAAGGCACAACUAAACGAAUACAGAUACUGAAAAGCAAAGUGAACUGUCACAAAGAUUAUUAAAUAAGAUUUUAUAUAUAUAUGGAAAUUUACCAUAUCCACAAGUUUGUCAGGUUUACUGUAACAGACUGACCUCUGCUGCCAACACAUCCUCAACACUCACGGAGAGGAAGAGAGACAUGAAAGAGAAGGCACUGAACCUGCAGGACUUCAUAUCUGGAGAGCUGUCAGAAAAGAGCAAGUGCGAGGAAGACAGAGACAGAAGGGAGAAAGGUGUGCGAGGAGGCCUGGUGUCCCAGUAUUGGGAAAUGCUGGGCGGGAGGAGAGUAUGCCACAGCAACCGUUAUGUUGAUGGGGGACACAUGCGCACGUGGCUGUAGGUUUUGACAUCCUCCACCUCUUGAUCCAGAGGAGCCAUAUAACACAGCUAAAGCCACUGCAGCGUGGGGUCAGGACUAUGUAGUACUCACAUCAGUGGACAGAGAUGGAACACUAAAGUCUUGGUAGAGUGUUUGACUCCUGAUUUCCGUGAAGAUCUGGCAGCCGUGGAGAAAAUUGCUUUGUCUGUGCUUGAUGUUUAUGCUCACGAUGUACUCAACUGUCAGAGAUUUACAGAGGCAUGUGCAUGACCCCCGUGCAAACUUCAACCAAUUGAGGGACUCUGGAGUGGACUGUCUAACACUGGGGCAGGACAUGCAGCCAACCAAACGCCAUCUCAAGAUAUGACAAUAAUAAACCACCAAACUCUGUCCUAGAUGGCACACUCCCAGUCUGUUCACUAAUCAUCUGAUACACUCUGCACACAGAAAUGGCAAGUGGUGACUGACAUAACAACCUGAUUGGCUAGCUUUACUCAGCUCUUGGUAGUAAAGGUGUGGUCACAUUUUGUUGAAUUUCAAGGGCAAAAUUGUUCAAUUGUCUAUUGUCAAUAGUUGAGCAAUGUAUGCAGCACAGCUCACAGAGUAAGUGUCUUUGUGACCAAUUUGAACCCGUUGCGAAAUCUGUGUGGAAAUCUUUCACCCUAAUGC